AUUGAACGCUGGCGGCAGGCUUAACACAUGCAAGUCGAGCGGCAGCGGGAAAGUAGCUUGCUACUUUUGCCGGCGAGCGGCGGACGGGUGAGUAAUGCCUGGGAAAUUGCCCAGUCGAGGGGGAUAACAGUUGGAAACGACUGCUAAUACCGCAUACGCCCUACGGGGGAAAGCAGGGGACCUUCGGGCCUUGCGCGAUUGGAUAUGCCCAGGUGGGAUUAGCUAGUUGGUGAGGUAAUGGCUCACCAAGGCGACGAUCCCUAGCUGGUCUGAGAGGAUGAUCAGCCACACUGGAACAGAGACACGGUCCAGACUCCUACGGGAGGCAGCAGUGGGGAAUAUUGCACAAUGGGGGAAACCCUGAUGCAGCCAUGCCGCGUGUGAAGAAGGCCUUCGGGUUGUAAAGCACUUUCAGCGAGGAGGAAAGGUCAGUAGCUAAUAUCUGCUGACUGUGACGUUACUCGCAGAAGAAGCACCGGCUAACUCCGUGCCAGCAGCCGCCGUAACAC
rnacentral:rRNA from 1 species